GGGAAGAACAAGUGCCAUUCGAAUAGGUUGGCACCUUGACGGUACCUAACCAGAAAGCCCCGGCUAACUACGUGCCAGCAGCCGCGGUAAUACGUAGGGGGCAAGCGUUGUCCGGAAUUAUUGGGCGUAAAGCGCGCGCAGGCGGUCUCUUAAGUCUGAUGUGAAAGCCCACGGCUCAACCGUGGAGGGUCAUUGGAAACUGGGGGACUUGAGUGUAAGAGAGGAAAGUGGAAUUCCACGUGUAGCGGUGAAAUGCGUAGAUAUGUGGAGGAACACCAGUGGCGAAGGCGACUUUCUGGCCUACAACUGACGCUGAGGCGCGAAAGCGUGGGGAGCAAACAGGAUUAGAUACCCUUGUAGUCUGAAA
rnacentral:rRNA from 1 species